ensembl:scaRNA
UUGUCCAUGCCGCUUGGCUCUGCCUACCCUCUGUGCAGAAUUACUGGGGGUCUGCGGCUGGACGCACAUUGACCCUGUCUGUUUAGGAGGGCCGCACACAGUUGAAGUGCACUCCCUUAAAGGCUUGACAGGACAUU